GGAAGGGUUUCCCUGACACACUGGCUGAGGUGCCCCAGUUCCCCGAGACUGGCCGGGAUCACUUCCGGUGGGGAAAGUCCCACCUCUCCGGGGCGAGCCGGGUGGCUCUGGGGCCGCGCCCUGCCGAGUGAGGCGGCAGGGGACGGUCUCGGUUCGCGGCCGCGGCCUUGGCAAAGGGCCUCUCAGAGAACCUCCGGCGGCCUUCCCUUUCCUGCCCGCAACCCCAGCUGCUGACAGUCGCAUCCCAAAGGCGCCAAACCCCUUGGCGUCUCCGCGGCUCGCAGCCAGAGGACUUGCACCGCCGGCUGGCGAGUGCUUGGACGGCGGGUUACCAUCCGGCCCCCGGGAGAGCGCCCAACAUCCCGGCUCGAGAAGGCGCAAGGAAAAUAAAGCAGCCAAGAAAGUUCAUUCUCAUAGCUCGUGUUUCGAACACUUGAUGUUUCUCUAGAAACGCGUGCAAACUACCCUUCGACUGCACUACCGCUCUUAAUCCAUUUGUGAUGUGUCUUACUUGGCCAUGCCUGACAAAUAAUUAAAUACAGUACUUUUAUCAUCUAGCAAAUUGGCUCGACUCCACCAGCAAAUGACAAAGUCACUCCUUCCCUUCUUAUCACAAGACUCAAAAACAACAGGAAUAGAAACACUUUAUCUGACAAUAACUCAGCUUUGCCAUUUUUGAUUGUAACCACUACACGGCGGGAAAGGAACUUGGGCCCCUCUGCAUCCCACAGCUUCCUUUGUCUCAAGAGGACUUCCAGGGGGAUUGGAGAGCUCUUGACAGCUGAGCAGCAUCUACAGGAGGGGCAUCUCCCCAGGAUCCAGAGAAUAGAGGACAAAAGUAGCAGUUGUGCCUGCAUGUCUGCCACUUCUGGGCCACUUUUCUUGAAUGGUCUGAGUGUCCCUCAGGCUCCAGUCUCAUCCCAAUGACUCUUGAGGUCCCCUAGCUUCUUUAGGAUCUACAAUAUCUCUGACAGUGUUCAGCAGGAGAAGGAAAAUUGCUUAUCACAGUGGUCUCUACCGUUGGCUGGUGCUCGGUUUAUGGUGAACACUCGCUGGAGAUUCAGUGAGGUCUGAAUGCCUCAUUGAUUACAGCGCCUACCUGUUGCCACGGAUUGUGACUUCGAAUGUCGGGAUUCACGUGAGUUCAGCUCUUCCUAUGCUAACAACCCACAAAUGGAUUUAACAUAGGACUUUGUACAUAGAAAUUGAGAAGAACCAAAGCACUUUGAAUGAACUGCGCAUAUGUUUAUUAAAUAGUUGACAAAGGGACAUCAACAACCACUUAUUACAUAUAUAUGUAUAUAUAUAUAUAUAUAAUUAACACAGAUAUGUUUCUCUCUUAACUGUCAAUUUCCCCAAGAAAGAAUUGUUCAACUGUUCAGUUCAUGAAAGCUAAAGGCAAAGUCUCAGUCCCAAUCCUAUUCUUCCCCACCCUCUUCUUACGACCUACAUUGAUUCUCAAUGAGUUGACCAUCACCUUCUGUAGUCAUAGCAUCCCCAGAAGCAUGCUGACAGCAGAGACUCCUCAGAUUCCUUCUGUGUUCUCUUAAGCCCUGCUGGUAAUGAGCAGGCUGUCCACUUUAACCAGUGUUGUUGCCACUGCUUGUUGCUGUCCAACCACUGUCAGCCUGUGAUUUUUCACCAAUCUCUUUGUUCGUAUACAUACAUACAAAGCACUGAAUCAUUUAUGGGGAGAAACCUCCCUCAUCGUCAUCAGGAAAACAUGAUUUCUCUUGCAUCUGUUCUGUUUUUGUCCCAGGCACACCCUGCCUGCCUCUGCACUGCACUCCAUUUUCCAUUUACAACACAAAAAUGCUGGGCUACGCUGACCAGAACUUCCUUCUUAGACUGAUUUCUUCUUAUUCUGAUUUCCAUUUUGGAAUGCUCUGCUUUUGUUUCAGGCAUCUGUUUGUAAGGACAGGAAUUGGACCUUCUGUUCCUCUCAUAAACCUCACCUUUCCAUCCAGGUGGCUUCCUUUUUGUUAUUGGAGCUCUUGGCUAUUAUUCUCCACAUACACACUGUCUUCCUGCCUAAGAGAAAGGUGUAAGUCCAGGCACUGAGAGGAAGAUCUGGGUGGGCUCAGUUAAAUUAGAAUUUCUAGUGCAAGAAAGAGUAAAGAAAAAAAAAUCUAUGUGUACCCAACUGUUGAAUAUUAGCAAGUGCAGGCAUUAUUAGACUGCUCUAGGAACGUGAUCAUGUAUCAGGCCUAUCCUGUGUCAUGCUCUUUACCACAGACAUUGACCAUGUGGGUGGAUUUUAACAUGUGGAGUUUCAGAAUGUUUACUAUCUACUCAAUAUUUUAGGUUCAUUAUUAUAUCAUAACUUUCCUGACAAUAACAAAAAUACAGGAGCUUUCUUUUUUGGCCUUCUUGAGAUGGUGAAUGAAUAUACCACUCAUCUGUAGGAAUCUGCUGCCUAAAUGCUGUUUGUUGCAGUAAAACAUAUAUCCCUCAUCUAGGCACAUGACCACUGGAGAGUCAUGCCUUUUAAUUUUUUAUCGAUUUAUUUUUUAAGUAAGAGCUACACCCAACGUGGAGCUCGAACUCAUGACCCCGAGAUCAAGAGUUGCAUAGCUCUAUGACCAAGUCAGCUAGGCACCAUGAGUUAGGCCUUUUUAAAUACAAACACUCCCAGGAGGCAGCACAUAAACACUGCCAGUCUCACACCAUAGUGUGAUUGUUCUCUUAGUUCUCAGCUCUGAGAUGCUCUCCAUAGCUUGAGGUGCCCCAACAGGGAAGUUAUGAAGGAGAAAAGUCCAGAUAUGUUUGGGGGAAGCAGGCCUGGUAAGUUGCUACCAUGGAGCUUCUAGAGAGCCAGAGGUCACCAUGGGGGAUGAGGAAAGGAGGCUCUUAGAAGGAUAGUGAAUAAAGAGGUUGAAAAAUGCCAAAGUAAACAGUUUACAUCCAGUUUUGCCUGUGGGUCAACUUCCCUCUGGCCAACAAAGACUCCAUUUUGAUGGUGGUUGGGAAUGCCUGCCCUGAAUUCUUAUCAUUCAGCAGUUUCAAAAAGGAAGACAUAAACUCAAUAUUGAAGAGGCCCAAAGACCUUUUGCAAAUGUCUAUAUACUGAACUGGUAUUCAUGCUGGGAUUACCAGACUCACAGAAUCAUAUACAACACACCCAAAGGCUCUUAGUUGGCUCAUUGAGAAACGCCAGGGUGGGAACCACACUCAGAAAGGGACAAAGUUGCUCUUAGCUCUGUAUGAUUCAGCUGACGCUGGACCUCCUCCUUGGCCCUUGGCACAGUUAUGGACAUGUGAAGGAUACUCAAAUCUGCCCUAGCCUCUUAUCCAAAGCCUCUUCACCUCCAUUUUCUAUCAGCCUGGCUAUCAAACAGUGGCCAAUGUGGAGAUGUUCACAACUAGUGUUUUUUUAAGUAUUUAGAAAUCUGACAGAGUAAAAUAUCACCUAGUUACAUUUUGCUUUCUUAAGGAACAAAAAUUAUCUUUUCAUUCCAGUGCCAUUUUUUGGCGAAAAGCAAUUUUAAGCGAGAGAAAACAUUGUGAUAGAAAAAUUCAUGCAUCUCAUUGUUAUGAAACCAUUGAUGCUCAUCUUGAAAAAAACAAAACACACAACACUGGUUUCAUGUGUUCCACUGAAGAUGCAAGAUAGAAAUGAAUAACUGGAAAAUACAAACUUCUAAUAAUGUAUCUUAGGAAAUACCUCAGAAUUGCUGGAGCACAAUAGAAGCCAGUAAGCAUUAUCUCAAAAUGUUGAGUUCUCUUUUACUAAAAUACAAAUGUGCCUUUCUUGUGUAAUUUCAAUAUCAGAGGAAUAAUACAUCUAAUACAAUGAAUGUAUUAUCUAUAUAAUUCAUAAUACUGCAGGUAUAAUUGGAAAUGCAUUUCUUCUAUGUAUGAAGUAGAACUUGGGACCAAAUCACAAAUUUAAAUUUUAUAUUAGAAUUACUAAAUUUGAGGAUUAAUAUACUAGAACAGGAAUAGCUUUUAAGUAAACUCUUAAUGUGUGAAUAUGGAUUCAUAAAAAAAGACAGAACCAUGAAAUUUACACAUUUUAUUAAAAGAACCAAAAACAAAAACACAGAAGUAGCAUACUAAAAUGAGUUGCAUAAUGCACAUUUCUAAACACAAACAAGCAGUACAGCACUAUAACUUGGGGAGAAAAAAAUCAAAGCAUCUACCCUAAUAAUAGCAGUUGAGGGAAUGAGCCAUUGCAUCUUGCAGGCAAAACAUGAUGGGAAGAGUUUUUACAUCUGUGAAACAUCGUGGUCAUUAUUAAAUUUA